UUAAAUUGAAGAGUUUGAUCAUGGCUCAGAUUGAACGCUGGCGGCAGGCCUAACACAUGCAAGUCGAGCGGCAGCGGGAAAGUAGCUUGCUACUUUUGCCGG
rnacentral:rRNA from 1 species